UGGCAAUUAGUUUAAACCAAAACAAGUGAUUUCGACUCACUAAACUAUGACCAUAUCAUAAUUGCCAG
rnacentral:tRNA from 1 species